UACGUAGGGGGCAAGCGUUGUCCGGAAUCAUUGGGCGUAAAGAGCGUGUAGGCGGCUUGGUAAGUCCGCUGUGAAAGUCCAGGGCUCAACCCUGGAAUGCCGGUGGAAACUGUCAGGCUCGAGUCCGGAAGAGGCGAGUGGAAUUCCUGGUGUAGCGGGUGAAAAUGCGCAGAUAUCAGGAGGAACACCGGUGGCGAAGGCGGCGUCCUGGACCAAUACUGACACUGAAAAGCGAAAGCCAGGGG
rnacentral:rRNA from 1 species